GCAAGAUUUGAGCAGUAAUUGUUAUAUCGGGCUCCAAUAGCAACUAUAAUGACACUGGCAGGAUCAUAGUAGAGGUACUCGUCAUUGCUGGCAGCACUAGGUCUGAGAUCAAACUCCCCCCCACUCUGAAAUAUUGGAGGGUAACAUAUAUCACAAUUCUCUGCUUUUAACUUUGCCUUAGCUUUGGCAGGAUCCAUUAUGGCCUUCUCAGCCUCAUCCAUCAAAUAAGAAUGGGUAACUUUCUUCUCCUCAUCAAUAGCAUUCUCAAGA
rnacentral:misc_RNA from 1 species